CCCACCUCUUGUUCCUGGGGGACUUACUGUGGUGUGAGGACCAUGACUUGAGAUUCAACCAUAACCACUGGCAGCCCCCGCUCAGCCACAGGGAUGAGAGCGGCCCCUUCAACUGACACGCAGGGCUUCGCAAAGGAAAUAAAAUUCAAAGUAGAACAGGACGACAGAUUCUCAGAUUACUGCCGGUUCCUUUCUCUUCCCUUUUUCCUCUUUGACUUUGUCUUUCUGUUUCUCCCUCUCUGAGUAUAGACUCCAUGUGCACACAGAGAAUCUACAGAGACUCCAGCCCACCCUCGGCCUGUGCUACAUGGACCUGUGGUAGAUGUUGUGCUUGUCAGGAGAUCACCCAAUUACAAACCCACGCUCUUUUGCAACAAGGUGGAAACGUAACGGGGACGGUUUAAAAGUCAUCAGUAAUAAAGGGAAGUAUAGUUUCUGUCUACUUAAAAAACCCAUCUGGUCUUCAGAUAUAAAUAUAUAAAUAAUUGGACCAUUUGAGAAAUAUGCUAUGAACUUUCUUUUCAGGUGCCAUGUGAGAAGAUUGAAACCACUCUCAUGGCCGUACAGUAAAUAUGAUGCAAGAUCAAGUGAUGCUACACCAGGCAAAAUGAAAUAUUUUACAAGUACGCAUUAAUACAACGUUUUGCACCUAUAUUGCAGUAACUCACGGUGAUGAUUGAUGGUAUUGAUGAGUCUUAAGCCGACGUUUGCGUGGUUGUUGGUCAUGAGCACAACAUCAAAGAGCUCCUCGCUGUCAGGGUAAAGCUCCCUCAGCCGAGUGUUCACAGCCUCCAGAGCCUGGGAACACAACCAAGCACAGAUUUGGCUCUGACCUUGAUAAAGGAGAAGGCAGGUCCCGCGCUGAAAGGCUCAGUUUCGUGCUCCACCUGAUGCUUGAUGUAAUCCUCCAUGCCUUGGUGCUCGUAGAUCUGCUGCUCCUUCUCCAUGUUGAAGAGGACUCGAGACGACACGGCGAUGGUGAUGGCAUUCUCCGGCUUGGGCUGGAGGAUGAGAGUUUCCAACGGACACAAAGACGCCUUGCCGAGCCCCUGUAUCUCUCUCCACAACGCAGCAAGCUGGAGGCUUCAAAUGAUGCAGCGCUCACUCGCAAACCUGGAGACGGCCCCUUUGUGCUGUUCAGGAUCUUGGCAUGGAUUGAAAUAAGAAGCAGCAGUCCCAGUUGCCAGGCAACGGCCGGGGAGUCAGAGGGGCUGGGACACCCGCAUCCAUUAUCUGAUUGGCUGUGGGGACACCAGACUGCAUAUGCCCUCCAAAUAUGGCAUCGAUCAGUGACACACACACAGGUGAUGCAGGGGGCGAGAUGAAGGUGUGCGUUCUGCUUUGAAGAGCAUGAACGCAUUAUUAACGACAUUAGCUGUGCUUUUGUGGCAACUAGCAGGCGAUUUGUCAGCCACAGAUGGUUUCUGGGAAAACGAUGCUGAGCGAGACGUCUUGGCAGGCACUCGAGGAAAUAGAGGGAUAAUAGAGACACAGUCUGACGGGAAACAUGCUGGACACGACUGCGUCCACUACAACCGUCAUCUGUAUUUAUCCGUCAGUAUUACAGAGGUAGCAAAUAUCAGACAAGGUUAUAUACAGUAUGUCAAAAAAGAAUUUAAAAGAGAUCUUUUUUUCAAAAGAUCUCAAUUUAUAUUGUUGCCUCCUAUACAUUCAAGACACUCUGAUCUCAACUGUGUCAACAUAUAAACCCACAGGGGUUCAAGUAAAACUAUAUCUAUCCAAUAUUUCCGGAAGCCAGCACACAUGAAACAUCACAAAGUGCCACACUGCGCCAAAUUUAACUGAUAGAAUAUGAUCUCUGGCUGUAACCAAACACUCCCCUGCAUGCUCCCCAGAGACCAGACACAAAGAUAUUGUAUUGAUUAACUGAGGACAGCUGAGGGAUUGUGUGCAUUUAUUGUCUGGGACCUAAUGAACUGUAAAAGCAUACAACCUUUUUCUUUCUAAGUAUUUAUUUUGUGUUUAGAUGAGCCAUCAAUAAUGUUGGGUGCAGGACAUUUUUGGACACAUUUGAGUAAAUAAAAUAAAAA